CCCCGGGGUAUGAUAACAUCAGCGAACUUUUUCGAUGGCAGAAUAAAAUCAUCAAAAGCUGGUUUCACAAACUUACCAUACUGCACAAUCAAGAAUUUCCGAUGCUGCUCCCAACCUGGGAAUUGGAGAAGUGGUUGCAGGUGUUAGGAUUUGAAAUCCAGACCUACUUAAUGCCACCUCUGCAUAAACUAAUGUCACGAUUUAUUCUGCGGGCAAGCCUCACAUCAGCAUCUACAUGAAGCAUAAGAUCAACAAGGGAUUGUGAAACAGAGAAGAAGACCA